rnacentral:rRNA from 1 species
ACGUAGGGAGCAAGCGUUGUCCGGAAUUACUGGGUGUAAAGGGAGCGUAGGCGGGAACGCAAGUUGGAAGUGAAAGGCAUGGGCUCAACCCAUGGAAUGCUUUCAAAACUGUGUUUCUUGAGUGAAGUAGAGGCAGGCGGAAUUCCUAGUGUAGCGGUGAAAUGCGUAGAUAUUAGGAGGAACACCAGUGGCGAAGGCGGCCUGCUGGGCUUUAACUGACGCUGAGGCUCGAAAGCGUGGGUAGCAAACAG